GACGAACGCUGGCGGCGUGCUUAACACAUGCAAGUCGUACGGUAAGGCCCUUUCGGGGGUACACGAGUGGCGAACGGGGGAGUAACACGUGAGUAACCUGCCCACAACUUUGGGAUAACGCUAGGAAACUGGUGCUAAUACUGGAUAUGUGCUCCUGCUGCAUGGUGGGGGGUGGAAAGCUCCGGCGGUUGUGGAUGGACUCGCGGCCUAUCAGCUUGUUGGUGGGGUAGUGGCCUACCAAGGCGGCGUCGGGUAGCCGGCCUGAGAGGGUGACCGGCCACCUUGGGGCUGAGAUACGGCCCAGACUCCUACGGGGGGCAGCAGUGGGGAAUAUUGCACAAUGGGCGCGAGCCUGAUGCAGCAACGCCGCGUGCGGGAUGACGGCCUUCGGGUUGUAAACCGCUUUCAGCAGGGACGAAGCUUUUUGUGACGGUACCUGCAGAAGAAGCACCGGCUAACUACGUG
rnacentral:rRNA from 1 species